rnacentral:rRNA from 1 species
CGCGUGGAUAAUCUUCCUCUAGGUGGGGAAUAACCAGUCGAAAGAUUGGCUAAUACCGCAUAAGACCACAAGCUCUACGGAGCAAGGGGUUAAAGGCGUAAGCCGCCUGGAGAUGAGUCUGCGCCCGAUUAGCUAGUUGGUGAGGUAAAAGCUCACCAAGGCGACGAUCGGUAGCUGGUCUGAGAGGACGGCCAGCCACACUGGGACUGAGACACGGCCCAG